AAAUUUGCAGCCUCUGUUAAAGGAAAAUAUGUUUAACUGAUUUUUCUCUUGUUCUCAGCAGGCUCCCUGAGACAGCAAUCCUGGGUGUGCAAACACUGUUGAUUAGAGGCUGGUGGUGCAUCUCGACCCUCUGCCUCCUGAUGCCCUCAGAGCUUGGCAAGCUGUCUCCUGACUUUCUAUGAACACCUGGUGACAACUUUUCAUGACAACAAAUGAAGAGCAGUGUUGUUACAGGAAGCAACAGCUGCUCAAUCUGCCAACCCUGCUGCUGUGUGAUUCUACCCUUGGGGACUCAUGACAAUGAACUUAGUGCUCCAAUAAAGAAUAUGUAUCUGAACUACCUGAGAAAAAGCAGGCUCAGGAGCAUUGUCAGGAUCCAAAUUCAACUCAUUCUUGAUGAAUCCAGGGAUGGGUAGUCUGGAAUAUUUCAGAUUAAUUUGAAUGAAGGAACCUGAGAAGAUCGGCAAGUUCCAUUGCGGGUUGUGCACCACCUCUCAGCAAGUACAUAACAAAUCUGAGAAUAAGGAGGAGAGAAACAA
rnacentral:lncRNA from 1 species